rnacentral:rRNA from 1 species
UACGGGGGGGGCAAGCGUUGUUCCGGAAUUACUGGGCGUAAAGCGUGCGCAGGCGGUGAUGUAAGACAGGUGUGAAAUCCCCGGGCUUAACCUGGGAACUGCGCUUGUUACUGAUAGGCUUGAGUGUGGCAGAGGGGGGUGGAAUUCCACGUGUAGCAGUGAAGUGCGUAGAGAUGUGGAGGAACACCGAUGGCGAAGGCAGCCCCCUGGGCUAACACUGACGCUCAUGCACGAAAGCGUGGGGAGCAAACAGG